UUAUGUAAUUGAUUAUUGAUUGGUUUUUUGGAGAAGGAAUUUUUUGUUUUUGUAAUUUUUGAUAGGAUAGUUGUUGUUAUAGUUGAUUUGUAUUGUGAUAGAAGUAUUUAUAUGGUAAGAAGAAUACUUUAUUUGUUGUACCUUUUGUAUCAGGGUUUAUUAAAAUUAGUUUUUGAUCAAGAUUUUCUCGAAUUUUGGAGGGCUAAGAAUUAAUAUAUUUUAAUGUAGAAGAAUUAUUUAUAAUUGGUUUUUAGUUAUUAUACGUUAGUCGUUCUUUAUUAUAUCUGGUUUCCUAAGAAAUUAAUUUAAUUAACUGGAGCGGAAAUAUUUUUAUUUGGGAAAAAAAUUUUUGUGUUUGGAAUAUUUAAAGGGAAAAGCUUUUAGGUAUAUUCUUAUAAUGAUGAUGUGGCUAGGAUUGAGGUAGGAUUAGAAGUUUUCAUCUGUAGUGUGUUUUUACUAGGUUUUUAGAAUGAUCAAUUUUUUUUUGUUUAAGUGUUUUAUUAGGAUAAGGGCUUUAAUUUUUGGGUUCUGAGAUAAUGAUGGAAUUAGUAGAAUAAAAUGUAUUGUAAUAAUACGUGGUUUUAUAUUAUUUUAAGGAAUUAGGCAAAUUUCUUUCCGCCUGUUUAAUAAAAACAUGGCUUCUUGAUAUAAAUAUGAGGUCAGGCCUGCCCGAUGAUAAUUUGAAUGGCUGCGGUAUACUGACCGUGCAAAGGUAGCAUAAUCAUUAGUUUUUUUAUUGAAAGCUGGAAUGAAGGGUUUAACGAGAAAGAUGCUGUCUUAAUUUGAUUAUUUGAAUUUUAUGUUUGAGUGAGAAAGCUUAAAUGGGUUUGAGGGACGAGAAGACCCUAUAGAAUUUAAUAGUUUAGGUGUUCUGGGUUUUUGGUUUAUGAUGGCUAGGAUGUGCGAGGAUUAUUUUGUUGGGGUGAUAGGAAAAUUUAAUUAACUUUUUUUUGUUUUUUAUCAUUAAUAAAUGAAUUUUUGAUCCAUUAGAAAUGAUUAUAAGAGUAAAUUACCUUAGGGAUAACAGCGUAAUUAAUCUGGAGAGUUCUAAUCGAUAGAUUAGUUUGCGACCUCGAUGUUGGAUUAAAAUUGGCUUUUGGUGAAGGGACUGAGGAGCUAAGUCUGUUCGACUUUUAAAAUUUUACAUGAUCUGAGUUUAAACCGGCGUGAGCCAGGUUGGUUUCUAUCUUCAUAGAUAUAAGAUUUUUUAGUACGAAAGGACCAGGAAUUUUCUAAAUUAGGUUUUUGUUGAUUAAAAUU
rnacentral:rRNA from 1 species